GUGUAAUUAUUGGGUAUAUAGGAUGGAGUAAUCCUGCUCUGGGAUUCAGUCAUGAACAAGGAGAUCAGUGAAGAAGAAUGGGAAUCAGAGGGAAUGAGACUUAGUCAAGUUCUUUGCAGCUAGCAAAUGGCAAAGCUAACAUUGAGAUCCAUGCAGAUGUGAGUGAAAGCCUGCACUGUUUUUGCUGCUCUCCACAUUUGGACCUGAAGUGGAUUUUCUUCAAGCUUUUCACCCAGUAUCCUUGAAGAGCCAUUCACCAUGUCUGGACCUUUGCGGUUUGUCUUCCUCAGUAUCAUCCUCACCUCUGAUUCCUGAGUCUGAUAUAUCAACUUGUGAGCCCAGCACAAAUGGCAUAAUCCCAGUUGGAUACCAUCAUUUUCUCUUCUUCAGUGAGGAUGAUAAGCAGCAACAACAAUGAUAAUAAUAAGCAGCAGCAACAAUGAGGAUUGUGACUCAUCAUCUUUGACUAGUGCCAAAUAGGUAGGAGAAAGCCUUUUAUUAAUUAAUCCUCAUAUCAUCCAACUACAAGUAAGGCAAGGAGAAAUGAUCAUCCAACUACAAGUAAGGUAAUGAGAAAUGAGCUUCCUUUGUAAAUGAGAAAAGUAAUGCUCAGAGAGUGGAAGUAACUUGCCCAAGGCCAGGGAGCGAAAGCAUAGCAGAUCCAGUGUGUGUAUGCCAUUGUUUUCUGUAAGAAGUCUUUCACCAUCACUUAAGAUCUUUAACCAAAUCCAUUUAUUAAAAUGCUUGAUUUAAUUAGAUAUUGACAGAAACAACAUAAACUAUUAAAUAGGGUAUCUAGAAAGCCUCGAGGAAGAGAAAGCACAUGAGCUUGGUUUGAUCACCAAGGAGAAUUUCUGUGAGUGACGCUGUGGAGACAUUGGAAAUGAUGAUUAAAGACAUGAAUAUGCUUGACACAUAUAGAGAAGCCUGUGUUGCUGGAGUUUAUAAUAUUAUUGUUAUCCUCACCCCAAACCAGAUUUCCUGGUCUAUGGAUGUCACAACCAUCAGCCUUGUUGUUCAGACCAAAACUUUAGGAGUCAUUCUCAAUUUAUCUUUUUUUCUUUCGAGCCUAUAUUUAAACCAUUGCCACCCACCAGAAAUCCACUGAUGAACCUACAAUCAUUUCUGGCUUCCAAGAGUGUGCAGCCUCCUGACAGUCUCCCUCUUCUGCCUUCACCACCUUGCCUCACACUUUGCCCUCCGUAGGGUUGUGGGGUAAGGUUUCUAACAGGUAACCGAGACAACGCUACCCUCUUCCUUAAAACCCUCCAAUAUAAUUGAAGGUAUUAUGUAAAUUUUGUUCAUUUUAG
rnacentral:lncRNA from 10 species